ACAUGUGUAUAACAUUAAUGCACUAGAUCCAAUCAGAACUCCGCAGUCAAGCGUGCUUGGGAUAGAGUAGUACUGGGAUGAGUGACCUUCCGGGAAGUCCUAGUGUUUUGCAUGCC
rnacentral:rRNA from 1 species